UAUCUUCAGUUGCCAGCAGGUAAGGCUGGGCACUCUGGAGAGACCGCCCCGGUCAACGGGGAGGAAGGUGGGGACGACGUCAAGUCAUCAUGGCCCUUACGCCUGGGGCUACACACGUACUACAAUGGCGCGCACAAAGGGUAGCGAGACCGCGAGGUGGAGCCAAUCCCAAAAAACGCGUCCCAGUCCGGAUUGGAGUCUGCAACUCGACUCCAUGAAGUCGGAAUCGCUAGUAAUUCGAGAUCAGCAUGCUCGGGUGAAUGCGUUCCCGGGCCUUGUACACACCGCCCGUCACACCACGAAAGUCGGUUUUACCCGAAGCCGGUGAGCUAACUCGCAAGAGAAGCAGCCGUCUACGGUAGGGCCGAUGAUUGGGGUGAAGUCGUAACAAGGUAGC
rnacentral:rRNA from 1 species